CCUACGGGUGGCAGCAGUGGGGAAUAUUGCACAAUGGGCGCAAGCCUGAUGCAGCCAUGCCGCGUGUGUGAAGAAGGCCUUCGGGUUGUAAAGCACUUUCAGCGGGGAGGAAGGCGGUGAGGUUAAUAACCUCAUCGAUUGACGUUACCCGCAGAAGAAGCACCGGCUAACUCCGUGCCAGCAGCCGCGGUAAUACGGAGGGUGCAAGCGUUAAUCGGAAUUACUGGGCGUAAAGCGCACGCAGGCGGUCUGUCAAGUCGGAUGUGAAAUCCCCGGGCUCAACCUGGGAACUGCAUUCGAAACUGGCAGGCUAGAGUCUUGUAGAGGGGGGUAGAAUUCCAGGUGUAGCGGCGAAAUGCGUAGAGAUCUGGAGGAAUACCGGUGGCAAAGGCGGCCCCCUGGACAAAGACUGACGCUCAGGUGCGAAAGCGUGGGGAGCAAACAGGAUUAGAUACCCUAGUAGUC
rnacentral:rRNA from 1 species